CGGGUGAGUAAUGCCUAGGAAUCUGCCUGGUAGUGGGGGACAACGUUUCGAAAGGAACGCUAAUACCGCAUACGUCCUACGGGAGAAAGCAGGGGACCUUCGGGCCNUUGCGCUAUCAGAUGAGCCUAGGUCGGAUUAGCUAGUUGGUGAGGUAAUGGCUCACCAAGGCGACGAUCCGUAACUGGUCUGAGAGGAUGAUCAGUCACACUGGAACUGAGACACGGUCCAGACUCCUACGGGAGGCAGCAGGC
rnacentral:rRNA from 1 species